UGAAUAUGGCGUCGCCGGGCUCGUCAACAUCGCCUGCCGGUGCAAGUCCACCGCGUUCCGUGAAGCCAGCCGCCGCGCAGCUGUGGCAAGAUUUGUCGAACGAAAAGCUGUCCACGCAGGCCAAGAAAGCCGUGCACAACGCUUACGCAAAAGUGUGCAAAAGCUACCCGCAGCGGUCUAUCACAGACGCUUGUCGGAAGGUGAGCGAGUUGACUGGAGUUAGCGAACGCAUUGUGUACCGGAUUAAGCGCGACGUACAGUGUGGCACCUUGAAUUCACCGAAGCGCAAAUGGCCGUGUCUCCCAGCCGCACACAGCAAUGCUGGAACCGGAAGACCAAACCUCCACUAUCACGAUAGUUUAUCCCUCGCCGUUCUACGAAGAAAAAUGCACCAGUAUUUCAUGCGAAAUGAAAUUCCGACAGCAGCAAAACUUGCUCGAGAUGUGACCAGUGAUAAUGACAUGUAUAUGCCUAAAAUGAGUGUACGUGCAAUUCAAUGGCUGCUCAGAAACACUGGAUCUUCUUUUCGCAAAUCGAAAAAAAACUUUGCUUUCAAGAGAUCAUCUUGUGGCGGCGGCAGUGCAUGCGUACCAUCCGGGAACUUCGCACCCAAAAGCGGCACAUAUACUACCUUGACAAGACAUGUGUCAACGCUGGACAUACCAAGGAAAAGGUCUGGGAGGACGUGAACGUUACACGCGAGGAUGAGUUUCGGGAAGGGCUCACAACAGGCCUUCGCGCACCCAGCGGCAAAGGUGGCAGGCUGAUCCUAUUGCACGAAGAUAGCGAGGAUGGCUUCGUAAAUGGUGCUUGCCUCGUCUUCCGAGCAGCGAAAGCAGCUGGUGACUGCCACAAAUAAAUGGUUGGGCCACGGU